UUUUCAGAAGCAAAAUGGCAAUAGUGAAGGCAGGUUAAACACUUUUGAACUGAAUUCUGAAUGUAAACUCAAUCAUCAUCCUAUUUACGAUUUUGUUGACCUUAUUUAUAUUAUUGCUUUUUUUUAGGGUUAGAAGAGGAAAUCUGCACUGCCUGCUGUUCACUUGUGCAGGAGGAUGAAAAGGCGUGAAAGUUAAAUGUGUUUCGUGCAGUCAGUUCCCCCCCUUUGAUUGUUCACAUGGCCAUGAGACCUUCUCAGAUAAAAGCAGAACUCCGGUGAUACUAGUAAUAUCCAUCUCAGAUAAAUGGUGUACGUCGACAUGGAUCUUCCCUAUUUGAGCACAUGGUACGGAGAUGGAGCUGGUUCUGCUCUGUGCCAGGGGAGCUAACCAUCGCUACUCAUGACAACAUACAGGAAGAGAGGGCAGGGAGAACUUCUUCCAACCUGAAACACUGAUAAACCACAAAUUCACAGAAGGGAUGGUGUGUUUUAGGUCAUUUUUUUAUUUUAAAGUUCUGAAACUCUUGAGUGACUUGAAGAAUAAAG